rnacentral:misc_RNA from 1 species
CCAGCGAUCGGUUUUAAUGUUAAAUUUCAUAAACAACAAAAGACCUGCAAGGACGUGCUUUGACGAAGUGGUAUAUUUUCAUGUCUCUGGAUCAUCAAGGAUAAUUUAGACCACAAUGCCAAGAGGAAGAAAGAACAAGAGAAGAGGAAAUGAUUCUGGUUCUCAGCAGAGUUCUGGAGACACAGAUGAGCCAUCUCAAAGUGGAGAGACUGAAAACACGACAGAGCCAUCUGGUGGAGAGACUGAAAACACGACAGAGCCAUCUGGUGGGGUGACUGAUAACACGACAGAGCCAUCUGGUGGAGAGACUGAAAACACAACCGAGCCAUCUGGUGUAGAAACAGGAACCUCUGCGACUUAUGUAGAAACUGACGGCAAUGGUGACACUGAAGCUACAGCAACACCAGUUUCGGAAAGUUUUUCAGAAACUAUGAGUGCGUUCGGUGGUAUAGACAGUUCGGCAGCUACAAUAGCCAGGGACAUUGAAGCACUGAUCAACGAUUAUGGACGCAGACUGCGACUACUGUCAAACAGAAAAGGACAUCUCCUGGAAACAACCCGGAACCUGAGAACAGAGUUUGACGAACGUCUGGAUAAAUUACAGAAGGAGCUUACAGACAAGGUAAAUCAGACUUACAGCGAAGAAAAAAAGCAGCUGGAAACCAAGAUUGAAAAAUGUGCCGCCAUAAAAUCAGACAUGGAUGACGCCAGGGUUUCAACAGAGAAAGCGAUGGCUUCGAAUGAUCCGGUUGGAAUCAUUACUUCGUAUCAGAAAGGAACGGAGGCAAUUAAAGCCAGUCAGGAUACCAUUGAAGAAUUAAAGCAGACGCAUUCUAACCUGAAAGUUACUCACAAAUUUGACACAAGUCCUGAGAACUUUGCGAGUAACGGUUUGAACCUUGGAACAAUUGAAGUCACCAGGACGAAGAGGGAGUUCCCUAUUGCUAGCAAUGAUUCUAAACCUGCUGAAGGAUGAAAAUGUUACUUGUCUCACCCCUAUUUGUUUGAAUAACAGUUAAAAAAAUGGAUAUUUACUAGAAUAGAGUAUAUAUUCGAACAUCUGUGCAGUGGGAAAAUGGCAUUCGCCUUUCACAGAAAGUGUCAUCAAUUGACUCUGGUAUAUAUAUAUAUAAUUGUGUUUUAAGUAUUGUAAGUCCACUGGUCAGUACAGAAUUUUUGGUAGUUUUUGUAAAUCCACUGACCAUCAAAGGUCACUAGAGGCUUGAUGUGAUAUUGUAUGCCCACUGGUCACAAGAGACUUGAUGUCUUGUAAAUUGUUCCGCUGUAAUUCCACUGGCCACUAGGGUCUUGUUGAGAUCUUGUUCUUUCAUUAGACAGUAAGGGCUUUCUGAGGUUUUGUAAUACCACUGGUCACCAGGGGCUUGUAAUUCCACUGGCCACUAGGGGCUUGUUGAGAUCUUGUUCUUUCAUUAGACAGGAAGGGCUUUCUGAGGUUUUGUAAUACCACUGGUCACCUGAGGUUUUGUAAUAGCACUGGUCACCUGAGGUUUUGUAAUACCACUGGCCACUAGGGGCUUGUUGAGAUAUUGUUCUUUCAUUAGACAGUAAGGGCUUUCUGAGGUUUUGUAAUACCACUGGUCACCAGGGGCUUGUAAUUCCACUGGCCACUA